GCCGAACCCACUCCCAACUGUACGGGCAAGUUUUUCCUCGGCCGCCGCCAUGACGUCCUCCCAUUCGCGGCGGCUAAUGGCGACCGCGACGCACCUGAGUGAGGAGAGUGGAAACAAAACGUUUGCAAGCAACAGAUGGUGUCCUGCUUGGAGAGAUGUUCUUCCCGCUGAUCAGGAGCAGCCCUGAGAGGUGAUUUAUGAGACGGGAUUUCCGGAGACAUGAUCAAAUGUGGCAGACCUUCAAGUUCACCUAAGUGACCUGGCAACAUUUUUUUUUUCAACCCACUGUGGACUCCUCGUCCUACACGAGUCCAGAAAAUGAAUGCAGCUGAGUCUAGCAGACGAGCAGCACUCCGCAAAUGGAUGGAGGCGCUUUAGUGACUGGGAUUCGGAGGAGCGAUUGGUGUUGUGCUCCAUCAGAAGUGGAUGAGUUAUUCCUGGUGGCCACAAUCCAUCUCUUGGAGGCAUCGCCAAUCCAUUCUGACUCCAAACAGGCCUGGCCCAAUCUCUGCCUCCAUUACAGCCAGCCAAUGGAUUACUUUCGUCCUCUCUUCAUGCCACCUUGUAGUCACUGACCAUGUGCCACCACACAACAUAAACUCACCCAAUCUCUUGUGAAGUGGAUGGAGCUGGUAAACAUUCGAUUGACUGUAAACCGUAAGGGAUGGAGACCAAGCCAUCGAAUGCCCCCAAAACGAUAGCAUAACUAUGCUUCAAACAAUUAUUCCAAAACACUAAUUUCAAACUAAUCAUACACAAUUACUUGGUCUACAGGGCGUUGUAUGUUUAGAAAAAUGCACCAAGAUUCUUAAUAGCCACUCAGGAGAGUAAAACUAUAGUAUACAUAGGACUUUCAUUAACAACCCCAGCUAAACUUACAGUCGCUCCUCACCAAUAUAGAAAGAGCUUCGAGAUGUCACAUUUCAACAUACUGUACUUCCUUGACACCAGUAAAUACUUUUCUAUGAGUUAAGUCUUUGGCGAGAUCAAAACACAUAAAGCACAAAAAAGUUUUGCAGUAAAUUACCGAGAAUAGGUUCCACCCCAAAAACCCAAACAGGUGAAUUCGUGGAGAGCAAAUCCCGAAUGCGCCGGACGUUCACUGUGUAUCUUCACUGGCCAGUAAUGUGUGACUUGAUUUUAGCAGCCCUUAAACUAGGUUAGCCUUUAUCUCUCCAAAUUGUGGAUGGCUAGAGACAUGGACAUAUUUUGGGAACGCAGAUUGUUUUUUAAUCAGCCAACACCCUUCACUUUCCCUAGAGAUAAUUAGUGAUAAUAAGAUUGUCCCAAAAUGCCAGCUGCGAGUUUAGAAUAGUUAGCCCUAACGGGAAUAUUAUCACCACUGCCAAUGUCCUUAUUGUGCAGGAUGACCUACUUUUUGUGAUAAAUAACCCUUUCCUCAAUCCCUCUGGAUGCUGUCAAGCUGCUGCAACCAGAAGAUCUUUAUUAAGAUUCAUUUACACUGCAGACAUUCCUAAUUCUAAUUUAGUGCCUAUAUCACAGACUGUCUAUUUACAGCGACUCUCAGGUGACCUAUAUCCAAUAUCAAUGGGCUUGCAUUUACCGAGCACCUGAAACAAAAAGACACACACCUACACACACACACACUGGUGGCACCAGGCCAGUAGUGGCUGCUAGGCUGCUGCACCACCACU